UAUGCAGUUCUUUGAUAGCCUCUGUUUUUCACUAUUUUUAAGACUCGGUCUAUCUAUAGGCUGACGUAAUGUAUAGUUUACCUGUCUACUGUUGAAGGUCAUUGAAAUCAAAAUGUUUUUUGGUUUAAUGUCGUUGGGUUUCUUUCUCAUUGACGUAUAGCACACAUCUCGUUCUAUUCAUAAGUAUAAACAUCAUAAUCGAAUGACAAAUCCAUGCAUCAACCUCUUUGACGUAUUAUAUUUGCAAAAUGAGUAAAGAUUAAUAAGACAGUGAAAGAUAAGAAAAAGAUUGGUGUUAUUGAACCAGGUGAAAGUCUUUGUGAAUCUUAAUCGUUUAGAUGGAAUAAAUUGAUUGAUAUAUUGAUUGAUUAUUGUUUGCUUUACGUCCAGUGGCAAACAUUGCAUGUAUGUUCAUGACGAGUACACAUUAACAAUAAAUACAAUCAGUAGUUUCUGAAAAGUAGGGGUUGACCUUGGUGAAUGGUGGAAAAUAUUAUCUGCCAUUGGAAAAUAAAGGUAUGUUAAUUCAGAGUAAAUUUAGCGUAGCAAAGGCUACCUACAGACACCUCAGAGUUGUUGGAAGGGUUCAUGAACGCGUAGUGAGCGUAAAACCAUCUCUUUGCGAGGCAUAUGAUUGAACGUCCCCAUUCCGACCAGAUGUGGCUGCGUAUUUAUGCAUUCCACACAUUCAAACGGACACCCAGCUUUAGCAAAUAUUAUAGCGUUGGAAUGGGAGAAGUCCAUCCAGGAAUUAACAUAUUUCUAUACUCCAAGUCAAGCCUUGGAGUAGGUGAAAUAGAAGACUUGGCAACUUAGAUUUUGUAUCGAUUAUAUAGAGCUAAAUAACUUCACCAUAAAUAAACUUAUUUUCGUCAUACAACCGAGGAUUAAAACGAAACCAUGUCGCAGUUCGCCUGGUUUUUCUCCCAUGACAUGACAAACACGGCCUGAGGAAGUUGAAACCUCAGUUUCUUUAUAAUUUCAAAAUUUAUAAACGGACAAUUUCAGGUAUUCCAACGUAGACUAAAUGGCGAAGAAUACUUUCACAGAGGCUGGCGAGAUUAUAAAGCAGGGUUCGGAUCUCUUCAGAGUGAACAUUGGCUUGGAGACUCCCUUAGCAGUCAUAGUGGUAUGAAAUUUGGUACAAAAGACCAGGAUAACGACUCUGAAGAAGGACAAAGUUGUGCUUUAAGUUAUAAAGGCGGGUGGUGGUACGAGAGAUGUCAUUAUUCUAACUUGAACGGAAUUUACCAUGCUGGGAAACAUACAUCCUAUGCUGACGGUGUGAAUUGGAAAACAUGGAAAGGCUACCACUACUCACUGAAGGAGACGACAAUGAUGAUACGACAAUUGCAAUAAAUUCAUUAUUUUGGAAAUGAAAUAAUAGAAAGUUAAAACUAUUUAUUUGGUAUAUGUUAGCACAUUAUUCACACACCUAUUAAUAAAUCCCCUAAAAAAGAA